AAUUCAGCUGUGGAAGUUCAGCUCUCAAGAAGCUCACAUCUAGGGUGCGGAGUUAGAGAAAUCAGACCGGCACAUGAUACAGAAGGGACUAGGUGCUAUGGAGAGACGUGAGCUGGGGAGGGGAUAGCCUGUGUUGGGGUGGAGGCUGCUGCUUUAGAGAGAUGAGGGAAGGCCACUGGAAUCUGAUGCUGAGCAGAGAUCAGGGAUUUUAUAUAAGGGAAGUGAGGGAGUGAGUCGUGGCCACCUGAGGAGAGCAUUCCAGGAUAAGGAAACAGCAGGUGCAAAGGCACUGCUGCAGGGAGGUGCUUGGUAUAUCCAGGGAGUGUGGAGAAGUCCCGUGUGGUGGCUGCAGAGGGAGCAGGGGGAGGAUGGUGGGAGGUGAGAAUGGAGACCUCUGAGGUAGGUCCUCGAGAGCCUUAGAGGCCACGCGAAUUGCAUGGGACCCACUGGAGGGAGCCAUUCCCAGAGCCAUGACAGGUUGGGACCUGCCUGCAAAGGACCACAUUCUGGCCGUGGGGAAGGGCAGAAGCAGGAGACCAAUUUGGAGGCUGGGACCUGGGGCCUGGGGCCUAGGACAGGCAUGGUGAGCAGUGGUCAGUUUCUGAAUCCAUUCUCAGGGUAGACACAAUAGGACUGGUGAUUGAUUGAAUAUGAGAUGUGAGACAAAGACAAAUGCCAAGGACGGCUCCAAGGGUUUUUCCUGAACAGCUGCCAGGAUGAAGUUGGCAUUUAUUUAGGUGGAGGAAGAAAGGAAGGAGCAGGUUUGGGAGCUGGAGAUAGAGAUUCGUUUUUGAAAGUGUUAAUUUGAGAUGUUCAAUUAGACACAGAGUGGAGAUGCCAAAUAGACAAUUAUACAGGAGUCUGGUGCUGAGUGUUGAGGUCUGGGAUGGAGACAUCACCCUGAGGGUCCUUGGCAUUUAAAUGCUGUUUAAAACCAGGAGGCUAGAUGAGCUCACCAAGGGAGAGGGAAGGGAUAGAAGAGGGAGAGGGUCUGAGGACUCAGCCCUGGAGCAUAGAUAAUUAACAGGCAGAUGGGGAGAAACUGGGAGAGGGGACUGAGAAGGAACAGCAGGCAAGAGAAAGAGGGCUAAGGGAGAGCCAUGACCUACAAUCAGGUCAAGAAGCAUUUCUACAGGAGAGAUUUAUGCUGCCGAUCUUCCAAUAGAUCAAGUAGCGUGGAGACCACUGAGACCCAGCCACUGGAGACCAUUAGCCUAGGGAGGUCAUUGGUGUCCUUGCCAAGCCCUGUUUUGGUUCUGGGUCCAGGAGACAGAGUGUAGUCAGAGGAGAGGAAUCACAGACAGCCCAGUGCAGACAACAGGCAACUCUUUCAAGGAGUCAUCUUAUAAAGCAACUAGAACAGUACCUGGCAGACACAAGACACGUAAUACAUAUUUUUGAAUGAGGAACUUGGCUCCAGAAGCCAUGAGAAUAACUUUGUUCCAACACAUUCAGGCUGCGACUGAAGCUGAGAGGCUUUUUUCCCAGUCAUCUUGACCACAAGAUCAGUUCUCUCCGUGAACAUAAAGACAAAAUCGCUGUGACACCAACAGACAGAUUUUUUAACAAGUGGAAUCCAUGUCUCAUGUAAACAAUGUGCUACUGCCUGCCAUUGAGUUCUCUUCCCUCGUUUUCCUUUUUGAAGACUUAACCCCUUUCCCAAAGGGACAUGUGCUCAGGUUUCUUGACUCCACAGCAAUCCCUUCUGUUGUGUAAGGCAAACUGAUCACCUUUCACAACGAGACAAGAAGUGAUUUAAAUCAGAUGGUGACCCAAUGACAAUGUCUGUGCUGUGUCCUAUGGAGAAAACCAAAGCUGAAAUCCAGUAACAGGUGAUAGGAAGAUGUGGAGAUAGAAACUGACCUGAAUUCUGAAAAACAACAAGAGAAAAGGAAGUCUGAGAACAAGCUGGUGUUCUUCCAAAACCUGUUCAUUGUGUGAAUUCCUAGAAGAUAGCGUGACACCGAGAAACAGGCUGGAGUGACACACCCAAACAAUUAUGCUACCUGGAUCUGCCAAGGCAGGAGGACAAACUCAGCAGCCUGGAGAAUGGAGGACACAGUCCAGAGUUGGUGAGCCAAGUUUUCUUCUGUUUGUUUUGCUGUUGCUGUUUUUGUUCUUGUUGACCUAUUGAGUUCUAUGAUGAGACCAAACGUUUAAUAAUUGUCUUCUAUUCUAAAACUUGUCUCUCAGCAACAACAGCAGCAAUUACUUUUGACCACUCACUAUCGGAAAACACUGCUUUAGGCUGUGGAAAUGCAGUAGUAGAAAAGCCAGGCAUAAUCCUUAUCCCCAUGGAGGCACUAUCUCCAUCCAAGGGCAGAGGACCUGCAAGCCCUGAGGUCUCCAGCUGAGGUUCCUCUCUGAAGGACAGUUGCACUUCAGGUCAUGCUGCAGUAUGAGAGAAGGCAGCGUGACAUCUUGAGUUUCUAAUGCUCACACCUGUCUCAGUGAAGCAUUUUUACAGAGUAAUCACCACCCCCCUCACACCCCCAACAAUGU
rnacentral:lncRNA from 10 species